AGAAAACAUAGAGAUACCUGCAAAUGAAAAAUAGAGCGAGGACUUCUGCAACAGGGAAAUUCUGAAAGAGUCUCUUUGUACAUCAGUAAAUUCCAAUACCUGCACUUAGCCAGGAUAUUUCAGGGGUUGGUGUAUUUCUUCCUCCUAGACCACCACAAUCCCUGGAGGAUAGCUAGCUGCUCUCCUGCCACUCUUGAUGGACAAGCCCUGGUUUUCACCCACUGUGACAUUCUGUGACAAACGCCAUGCACUCCAUUUUUUUCCUUGCUGUUUGUAAAACUUCCCAGCAUAAAAAUGUAGAGAUGGAGUUUGGAUCUCUUUCACUGGCAGUGACACACAGUGGGCAGUGCAUUGCUCAAGAGACUCGGUUGUAUUUCCAGCACUGACAAAGGCAGAAGGUACAUGACCAGGAGAAAUUCAUUUCACCAGCAAGAACCUCAUCUUUCCUGCUGUUAAAUGAGAAAUCUGUCCAGAAGAUUCCCCAUUAAUCAACAGCAACAAGGAAUCUCUCACCUCUGAGGGAAUAUUUAACUUGAACUUGCAUGUGUACACUGAAAUCUGAGUGUAGAUCCCAUCAUGUGGGCACAUCCCAGCACUGACUUGCCUGAGCUCAUUAUCUGCUCUCUCUGGAGCAAUGAAGCACAGCUUUAAAAUUGGUUUCCUGCAGUUUUGCCCCCCCUCUCUCCCCUCACCCCCUCGCCCCCCCUUUUUUUUUCCCAUUUCAGUCUCACCCAAGUGCAUAAUGAAAAAAUGUUGUGGCUUCGCAUGCAAAUAAAAUUUAACAUAACGACUUUCUGAGCUAAUGCUUAGCUCAGGUAAUGCACCAGGGGGCUUUCUGUUGCCAGGCCAUUUCCCCACUCCAUUGUAAAACAUUAAGCUGUUGAAAAGCAAAUCAUGAUUGCUAAGUUGGGUGGCUGAUGGAAGGAACAAAGAGUUUUGGAUACACGUCAAGGAAGGAACAAAGAGUUUUGGAUACAUGUCAAAUGUUCUGGAAGACUGGCUGACCAAAACCACUUCAGGGGUGAUCAUUAUCAGUAUAUCUGAGCAAUUAGUCUCAUUUUCCAGCAGAUAGCAGCUACUAACCACAGCUCAGUGCUCUGCGGAACAUAGCCACUUUUCUAGCUCUUUGAUACAACCUGUCACUGACCUUUCAGGGGUCUGCUCAGGGCUGUUCUGCAGCCCAGGCAAUUGGAUCAGAUCUAACUGCUAUAAACCAAGACCAAGAAAUUCCUCUGUAAAGUGAUACAUUUCUAGUGUGAAUGCCAUAUCUUGUGCUGCUCGUAUCAGCUGCUCCAUGAUAUUGAAUGUACAAACUGUUUAAAAUAGCAAAGUGAACUUCUGAAGUGUUAUUUUGCUGUCACAAAAGCAUUUGCAGGUUGGAUAUUCAGAAAAAUUUAUUCUCUGAAAGAGUAGUCAGGCAUAGAUCAGGCUGCCCAGGGAGGUGGGGAAGUUACCGCCCCUGGAGGUGUUCAAGGAGCAUGAAGAUCACACAAUGACUUGAGUUGGGUUGGGUUGGAAGGGAUCUCAGAGAUAAUCAGAACGUAGAGAAGCUUUUCUCCCCUGACUUGGCCUGGGACCAAUUUCACCAUAAUUCAGCUUUGUGUUGUCAGACACCCCAAGGAGAUGGUUGAUCUCAGUGGUUCGUAGACUGGCAGUUUAUCUCUGCCUCUGCUAGGCCAAGAUGGGUUUUACAUAUGUUCCUGAAGUGCUGAGGAAUUGCAAAGCAUGUAGGAAGUCUCAGAUUCCACGUUGCUUCCAAUAAAAGAUACCUGCAUGCAGAUAUUUAGGAAGAUGAUACUCUUUGUAUGAGUCACCAUGAUCUGUAAGUUUAUUCCAUAAUGAAACAUGGGCUUUUAGGGUCAAAAAGUUAUGUAAUUGCAGAGAUGUGGAUAUUCACAAGUUGAAACAAGAUUAGUAAAUCCAUCUUUUGACUAAUACAUCCAUCUACCCAACAAAUUUCUUACCGGAACACCGUCAGGUUCCAGUCCAUUGACUCUAAGAAUUUGAACUCUAAAAGUUCAAAGUCUUAGAAAAAAAAAAAACUUACUAUUAUAAUGCUAUUACUAUUAUAUUGGCUCGCAGCUUGUUGCAGCUCUGUGUUGCUUAUGUGCCCUUAUUCUUAAAGCCUUCCUAUCUCAAACUAAUUAAUACAUGAUGCUGUUUUAAAGGUACUUUACCUUUGACAAUGACCCUUGUAAGUGGUCCUAUCAUUUGUUUUAACUAUUGUCAGCUUCUCCUUCUUUGUGCUGAGACUGUCAUUAUUUCAUAUCAGGUGGUUUCUUCUGAAAACUGCUCUCAUAUAUACGGGCAUUUAAUAGUUACUGGUUGUACACUGAAGUGCUCUUGUAAGUUCUCUGUUGUUAUCCACUGGACUGUGACAAUCUCCACGCUCCAGCUCAUCAGCCACUGUGAAAUGUCACUAUUUCAUGUUAUGUUAAUUGCCAUAAAAGCAUGAUUUGAUAUGAAAAGCACUCCAAAUUUCAAAGUGCUGGGCUCAAUCUAUCGGAUUAUUACUAAAAGGUAAAGACAGCUUUGCAGUGGAUUAGGCAAAGUGCACUCCUUCGAGAGCAGAGUCGUGAGGGUUAUCUCACAUCUGUUCAGAAGUGGAUGCUCAGAGAAGAAACACCAUUAUCCCAUUGGACAGCACUAAAUAUGCUGCCACAAGAUUCCUAAGAUACUUGAGAUUAUACUCUUAUCUUAUUUUUCCUUGGGAGGACUUCAGAUAUCUCAAACUCAGCAAAUAUGCCAUUUACUUAGCUUAAUUACUCAUUGACAUGACAUCUCUGUUUUCGGUAUCACCAGAGCCAUGUGCUCGUUGUCCUCAUGAAUUAUGAGAAGGACUGCAAUUUCAGACAAGUUGAACACAAUUGAAAAACAUUGCAUGGCUGUGGUUCACCACUACUUUGCAUAAAUAAACUGCUCCAAGUAGACAUUGGGUAACAUUUCAUUCCCUCCCUCCCCAGUAUCCUCGGUUACUCUGUCACCUUUUGUUAAAUGGAUAUAAAUGAUAAACGUUAACAAACUCAUGUGCCAGUCACACGUCAAGAAAAGAAGCAAACAUGAAAUUAACACAAGUUAAUGUCAUGCUGUUUACAGAACAUUUAAAGUCUUGAAAUGUAACUUCUUGUGGUUUAAAGCAAUGACCAUUUGUAAGUCACGUUAUUUUCUGCAUUACGAGUUUCAGCCCUAAUUUUGAUGAGGAGUGCCUUUCUAAUCUAACAGUGUCCUUUGGAUUUAAACUUAGUAGAUUAAUAUGCACACAAAAAAAAAAUAGAUAAAGCACCUCUAAUAUUUUCCUGGUGGUUGGGUUUUACUUUGCAUGACUGACUCAUUAUGUGCAAUUAAUAUUGGCAUGAUUGCAGUUUGGUAAAUUAAACUACAUGCCCACGGAUGAAAAGCAGAGCCACAGAAUAACUUCCUUGCAGGUGAGCCAGCCAUGUAAAGUCACAACAAUUUGCAACAAGCUGCUAAAAAAGAAGGAGCCAAAUAAAUCUAAUGCUUAAUUUGCUGUUGGCUGUGGUAACAAAGUUCACUGGCCGUAAGAAAUUGGCAGAGAUCUGAAUCUGAGCAAGAACCUUUGCAAUAACCUCAGCUUGGACCGUGAUGUUGCUGACCUCAAUUUAUGAACAGAAAGGAAUUAGCAAACAUAAUCUCAUGCAUUGCUCAAAUGAAAUUCUGCUCUGUGCAGCGCUGCAGUUCUGGUGGUCAUGUCCAUCAAACACAGCUCCAGUGCUGCAGACCAGCUACGUGCUGACCAUCACAGACCCCAUUCCAGCAAGGUGUAAGGGAUGAAUCAAAUGAUAUGUUCUCCUCAUCUUCUGUCUAG
ensembl:lncRNA